CUACGGGAGGCUGCAGUGAGGAAUAUUGCACAAUGGGGGGAACCCUGAUGCAGCAACGCCGCGUGGAGGAUGACGCAUUUCGGUGUGUAAACUCCUUUUAUAUGUCAAGAAAAUGACGGUAGCAUAUGAAUAAGCACCGGCUAACUCCGUGCCAGCAGCCGCGGUAAUACGGAGGGUGCAAGCGUUACUCGGAAUCACUGGGCGUAAAGGACGUGUAGGCGGGUUGGAAAGUCAGGUGUGAAAUCCUACAGCUUAACUGUAGAACUGCACUUGAAACUUCUAAUCUAGAGGAUGGGAGGGGGAGAUGGAAUUAGUGGUGUAGGGGUAAAAUCCGUAGAUAUCACUAGGAAUACCUAAAGCGAAGGCGAUCUCCUGGAACAUUACUGACGCUAAGGCGUGAAAGCGUGGGGAGCAAACAGGAUUAGAUACCCGCGUAGUC
rnacentral:rRNA from 1 species